rnacentral:rRNA from 1 species
UACGUAGGGCGCAAGCGUUAUCCGGAAUUAUUGGGCGUAAAGAGCUCGUAGGCGGUUCGUCGCGUCUGCCGUGAAAGUCCGGGGCUUAACUCCGGAUCUGCGGUGGGUACGGGCAGACUUGAGUGAUGUAGGGGAGACUGGAAUUCCUGGUGUAGCGGUGAAAUGCGCAGAUAUCAGGAGGAACACCGAUGGCGAAGGCAGGUCUCUGGGCAUUAACUGACGCUGAGGAGCGAAAGCAUGGGGAGCGAACAGG